UGUCAAGUGUGUGGUAUGCUCCAUGG
rnacentral:piRNA from 1 species